AAUGAACGUUGGCGGCGUGGAUUAGGCAUGCAAGUCGCGCGAGAAGUCAUUUAGCUUGCUAAAAGACGGACAGCGGCGGAAGGGAGAGUAACGCGUGGUUAUGUACCCUCGAGACCGGGAUAGUGUCGGGAAACUGGCAGUAAUACCGGAUAACAUCUUCGGAUCAAAUGGUCUGCUUCCGCUGGAGGAUCGGACCGCGUACUAGUAGCUAGUUGGAGGGGUAAUGGCCCACCAAGGAUUAGAUGGUUACCGGGUGUGAGAGCAUGGCCCGGCUCACUGGGACUGAGACACUGCCCAGACAUCUACGGAUGGCUGCAGUCGAGAAUCUUCGGCAAUGGACGAAAGUCUGACCGAGCGACGCCGCGUGCGGGAUGAAGGCCUUCGGGUUGUAAACCGCUGUCAGUUAGGAGGAAAUCCAUGAGGGUUCUCUCUCAUGGUUGACCGAUUUUCAGAGGAAGGACGGGCUAAGUUCGUGCCAGCCGCCGCCGUAACAC
rnacentral:rRNA from 1 species